AAUUGGCUUAGUUAGGAGGCAGAAAUUGAUUCAAAACCAAAGACAUCGGUUACGAUGCCUUUGGCUCUGAGGCCUUUUGAGGGGACUCUUUGCUUUUUCUUCAUCAAUUGUCCUCCAAGCAGCCUUGGACAUUU
rfam:Corchorus olitorius cultivar O-4 contig23031, whole genome shotgun sequence.